AAUCUACCCAGCUCUACGGAAUAACUCAGGGAAACUUGUGCUAAUACCGUAUACGUCCGAUAGGAGAAAGAUUUAUCGGAGUUGGAUGAGCCCGCGUUGGAUUAGCUAGUUGGUGGGGUAAAGGCCUACCAAGGCGACGAUCCAUAGCUGGUCUGAGAGGAUGAUCAGCCACACUGGGACUGAGACACGGCCCAGACUCCUACGGGAGGCAGCAGUGGGGAAUAUUGGACAAUGGGCGCAAGCCUGAUCCAGCCAUGCCGCGUGAGUGAUGAAGGCCCUAGGGUGUGUAAAGCUCUUUC
rnacentral:rRNA from 1 species